UAAAAAAACCCUCAACAACGGAAUAUUUGGGCUCUGGCACGAUGAAAAAACGCAGCGAAAUGCGAUACGUAGUGGGAAUUGCACAAUCCCGCGAAUCAUCGAGUUUUUGAACCCAAGUUGCGCCCGAGGUUUGUCCAAGGGCAUUUCCGUUAAAAGCGUCACC
rnacentral:rRNA from 1 species